AAGAACUUCCUCUGGUUCCAUCUGUGUUCCCGGUGCUGGCACGGUGCUUGGCUCCAAACAUCCUGGGACAGGCCCAGAAGGGGAACCCUUCAGCUGAUGGGUAUUUCCUGCCAGAGACUAAAGGCCCCAGUAAAGGAAGUUCUAUUGUUGCCUCAAUGAGGAUGGAGAGUGGAAGGGCUGCUCAAAGUCAAGCUGCAACCACUGGAAGGAAAGGCACCCUGGGGAGGCUAGAGAAGAAGCUUCCAAAGAAAUGAGCCCAGGUCUGUCCACGGCCUGUCCCGGUGUCCCAGGAGGGAAGUUUCAGGGCAGGUGACAUCAGCACAUAGAUGGAGUGAAGAUAUGAACUAGAGCACAACACAAGAGAGGAGCAUGAAGAAGAAAUAGCAAAAGAAGGGAGAUAGGAAGGAAAAGAGGGUGGUGACGAGGAGGGGAGGACAGGACAAACAUGAACAGUCCUGUUUGUGGAAAGAUGCAAGCAGGGCA